rnacentral:rRNA from 1 species
UACGUAGGGGGCAAGCGUUAUCCGGAUUUACUGGGUGUAAAGGGAGCGUAGACGGCAGGGCAAGUCUGGAGUGAAAGGCAGGGGCCCAACCCCUGGACUGCUCUGGAAACUGUCCGGCUGGAGUGCAGGAGAGGUAAGUGGAAUUCCUAGUGUAGCGGUGAAAUGCGUAGAUAUUAGGAGGAACACCAGUGGCGAAGGCGGCUUACUGGACUGUAACUGACGCUGAGGUUCGAAAGCGUGGGUAGCAAACAGG